rnacentral:rRNA from 1 species
AUUGAACGCUGGCGGCAUGCUUUACACAUGCAAGUCGAACGGUAGAGGGGGCAACCCCUUGAGAGUGGCGAACGGGUGAGUAAUGCAUCGGAACGUGCCCAGUCGUGGGGGAUAACGCAGCGAAAGCUGUGCUAAUACCGCAUACGAUCUCUGGAUGAAAGCGGGGGACCGAAAGGCCUCGCGCGAUUGGAGCGGCCGAUGUCAGAUUAGGUAGUUGGUGGGGUAAAGGCCCACCAAGCCAACGACCUGUAGCUGGUCUGCGAGGACGACCAGCCACACUGGGACUGAGACAAGGGCGAGACUCCGACGGGAGGCAGCAGUGGGGAAUUUUGGACAAUGGGCGCAAGCCGGAGACAGCAAUGCCGCGGGCAGGAAGAAGGCGUUCGGGUUGUAAACUGCUUUUGUACGGAACGAAAAGGCUCUGGUUAAUACCUGGGGCACAUGACGGUACCGUAAGAAUAAGCACCGGCUAACUACGUGCCAGCAGCCGCCGUAAAAC